CAAGAUGGCGCCAGGCCCGCGCGGUUGGAGGUCACGGCACGCGGAAGGGGCAGCCCUAAGGCGCGGGAGUACCAGGCCCAAGGGAGGGCUUCAGGGCCAGGGUGGGAGCAUGCAAGCGAUCAGCCGUGAGGAAACCAGCGUCAUCGAACGAGAAGAUAGGGGCUAAUGAUGAUUGUGACUCAGGCGUCCUGACACUAAGCCUUCUCUCCGGAGUCCUGAGACAGUCAAGGAAUAGUAGGCACCAGGGACCUGUAGUGAGGCUGUGAGGUCACUGCAGGCAUGCCCGGGCCUGUGCCCAGGCUCCAUCCGUGGGAGUUAAGCAGUUCCCCAUGAGGUGCUCUCAUGGAAGCCUCUCCGCUUCUCCCUUGUGCCCUUUUGCUCUUCCUUUCCAAAAUAAAUUGGGGGUGGGGGGAAGCUCCGGCCCUCAUCGCUUCUUCUAGGCCUCUUGGUCUCGGGAGACAGGUUCUGAGCAGCCCCCUUGGAAGGAGGGCAGCAGGGCCUACCCACUUUUCCUCAUGCCCAAACCCCAGCUACCCAGGCAUCGCGCUUGAAUGCAGCACGAGAAGGACGGGGAAAGCUCACCAAACCCCCAUAAAAAAUAAAAAAUAAAAAGAGAGCCGCGGCUGUAAAUAAAGCCAAAUCCGCCACC